rnacentral:lncRNA from 1 species
CCCUUGUGUGCAGCCAAGGCCCAGAGCAACGGCUCGGUGCUAUCAGCCGCCCACGCCCGGCAGUCUGGUCCUGCGAGAUAGUGCUGGAUGCGGGGGGGUGCAAGGAAAUUUGCACUGCCCUGGUGGAGGAUAACGCAGAACGGGCUGAGAAGCGGGUGCCUAGAGCCAGCCCUGCAGGAAAUAUUUGCUCAGAUGCUGUGAGUUUUGCGACAUGGGGAGGCUCCGUUCUCAAGAAAGAAAAGAUAUGACAAAGAAGACACAAAAGCCCCCUCUUUACCGGUCCCUUGGUUCCGGGGCUUCCCCUGGAAAUGGUUUCCUUCCUCACAAAGCCCACCUGAGCACCAACCCAUGGUUUCGCCAACUAACAGCAGCCUGCACGGUCAGCAGAAGCACAGCUUCCCAACCUCCUUCCAACCCGAGGGGUUGGCAGCCCUUCAAGUCCAGGCGCCUCUUGUGACUGGUUUUGUAGAUUAGUACAAGAAAGCCCUACCCAGCCGCUCUGUGGACUGAGGACCGGGUCUCCCCAGAGUCUAGAUCCGGUUUCUGCUGCUAAGGCAAGAGCGUCUGCCGCAGAUGCUCCCUGGCUGUCGCUGGCAACAUCUGGGACUCCUCGAGUGUGGCCUUGAGCUUCCCCAGGUUGCAGUCGCCCUCUUCUUCCUGGCUCUGUCAGAGCAGCCCCAAGCCCCACAGCCAUGGCAACCCAAGCUCAGAAAAGGCAGAUGGUUGGGCAGACAGUUUUGUUCCCAUCCUGCCACCUGCGAACCUGAGAUGAUUUCUGGUCUGUGUUGCUGGAGCGCCUGCUGUUGGGGCGUAGUAAAUGAGUCCUGGCCUUGGCUGUGUUUCUGCAGGGGGAGAAUAAAGACAACUCCAGCAGGUAUCUACUCUACUGUUGGAUGCAUUUCAGUUUUUGCAUCUCUGAGUUUGCUCAUGUGGGUAGAGCGCACGCACACACACUCAGGAGCCGUGAGAGUUGGUCCUCUCAUGUGAAAAGUGCAUGUACAUACAAACAAUGCAAGGAACCAGGGCCACCGAACAAG